AAUCAUAAGAUACAAGAGUGCAAACAGAAAAUUGAGGAGAGUUGGUUUGUAGCAAAGGAAAAAGCUGCUAAGUCCAAAGCAGCAAAAGAGGUCAUAAAAGCUUUGGCUGUAAGGCUUCAUACAAUAUCAGGAAAAGAGAAUGCUGGACAAGAAGGAAAAGUUGGGAGAUGUUCCUACAAAUCUUUGUAAGAGAUGAGUUUGGAUAAUGAAGUUGGAGUGUUGGAGCAAGAAACAAAGAUGUUGGAGCAAGUUCUCGGGAUAAAACUCACACAAGAGACCAAAAAACUAAGGCAGGCUUGUUUUAAAGUAUAUUCAUAUUCUAAGUAGUAAAAAUAGCACUUAUUAGAUGGUUUAAAUACAUUAUUAGAUAUUAACAUAGUUUAGGAAACUGGAUGGUAGAUUUGACUGAUUAGUGUUUAUUGCAAUGCUUGUAUUUUGGUAGGUUUAGUAAGACAAGGUUUUGUAUAGGAGUUAUUACUUUUGAUUUUCAAUAAUAAAAAAUUAUAUAUUA